rnacentral:rRNA from 1 species
UACGGAGGUCCCAAGCGUUGUUCGGAUUGACUGGGCGUAAAGGGUGCGUAGGUGGUCGGGUAAGUCUGAUGUGAAAUCUCCGAGCUCAACUCGGAAAUGGCAUUGGAUACUACUUGGCUAGAGGGUUGGAGGGGGGACUGGAAUACUUGGUGUAGCAGUGAAAUGCGUAGAUAUCAAGUGGAACACCAGUGGCGAAGGCGAGUCCCUGGACAGCUCCUGACACUGAGGCACGAAAGCUAGGGGAGCAAACAGG